rnacentral:rRNA from 1 species
CCCUUAGAUGUUCUGGGCCGCACGCGCGCUACACUGAUGCAUUCAACGAGUUUCUUCCUGGUCCGAGAGGAAUGGGUAACCUUUUGAAAGUGCAUCGUGAUAGGGAUAGACUAUUGCAAUUAUUGGUCUUCAACGAGGAAUUCCUAGUAGACGUAGUUCAUCAGACUGCAUCGAUUACGUCCCUGCCCUUUGUACACACCGCCCGUCGCUCCUACCGAUUGAAUGACUCGGUGAAAAAUUGGGACCGUGAGUCUGUUUGCUUCAUUGCGAGUGGAUUGAUGGGAACUUUUUUAAACCUCGCCAUUUAGAGGAAGGUGAAGUCGUAACA